CUUGGUGAUUCCCUUUUCCUUUGGUUCUUUCUUCUUGUAUCUGUUUUUUUUCUAUUAAUAUAUUAAAGAUUUUAGAAAAAAACAUUCAUUUCCUAGCCUGCCUAAUUUUUCUGAGUGAUUCUACAGGAGGAAGAUGUAAGAUGUUACUUUCCAGUCAUUUCUAAUUUAGUUUGGGAGAAGAAAGAAAAAAAAAGGAAAGAGAGAACAGAAAAAAGAAAUGAGGGAAGAAAAAAAUGGAAAUGAAGAAUGGAAGGAGAAAAGAAGGGAAAAUUGGAUUCAGAAGAUAGAAAUAAUCCAGGAAGAAAAACAAAAAUGCAAACAGUUUACAUUCAUUUCAUGCUUCAACUAGCAACUGACAAUUAAAGCACCAACAACAGCACCAACAACAGCCACAAUCACCUUCACUAUCUUUUGCUGACUCUUGUAAUGGUUCCC